UCCCAAUCCACAAUAAAUAAAUAUGUUUAAACUAAACCUGGUACAGUAAAAACUUGUACUAUUUAGUUAUUAUCUCCUUAGAAAUUUAAAUCUGUAGGUUGAAUACUUGGUGUAACCAAAUGGUUAAAGGGAGACAACAAUAAAAUUGAGAAAGGAAAUGGGGAAUGUGUCAAAGUGACAACAACCCGACAAUAUUUAUUAAGUACAUGCUUAGGCUGGUCAACAACUCUAAAAUACAACAAUUUUUUUUAUUUUUCAAUUCAAAUGUCAAAAUUAAAGAAUGGCCAUAUCAAAUUUAAAACAGAUCAAAUCAUGAGUGAUUGAGACAAACUUCAUAUUUUGUUAGUGUAUAUGAUCGUGACACUAUUUUGUAUGAAAUAAUGUAAAAUGGCAUGCACAAACUGUGUCACCUUUCUAAAUACAUAUACAGUGAACCCUGUUAUAAUAGAAAGCUUAUAAUUUGAUAGUAAAAAAAGCUCUAAUAAUACAGGGGGUUUUUGGGAACACAGGUUCAAUCUAUCAUGAAGAGUAUGGAACCUAAAAUUUAUGAUCAAAUAAUACAGGUGGUCUCCUGAACAGGUUUGACUGUACUUGGAAUAUCCAAGUUUUUACCGAGGUAUAACUGCAAAGAAAGGAACCAAAAUACAUUGUUUUAGUUAUAAGAUAUGACUGGUACCGUGAUUUCAUUUAUUAGAAACAUUCUUCUUCUGAACACACAACAUUCAAUUUUCCUAUAGCUAGAUAUGAAUCAGUUUUAAAAUAAACUGAUGGGGUUUACAAAUUAUAAUUGUGAAAUUGCCUACACACACAGCUUUAACAUGCUGAAUAAGGGUUACAAAAGAACAAACUUUCAAAUUUAUAAAUAAUUUACACAAUAUUACAGAAUAAUAAAUACUUAAUAAUAUAAAAGACAUACUAAAAGACACAAAAUAAGUUUUUAUUUCCCUCUAUGAAU
rnacentral:lncRNA from 1 species